rnacentral:rRNA from 1 species
CACCAGACUCCUACGGGAGGCAGCAGUGGGGGAUAUUGGACAAUGGGGGGAACCCUGAUCCAGCGACGCCGCGUGAGUGAAGAAGUAUUUCGGUAUGUAAAGCUCUAUCAGCAGGGAAGAAAAUGACGGUACCUGACUAAGAAGCCCCGGCUAACUACGUGCCAGCAGCCGCGGUAAUACGUAGGGGGCAAGCGUUAUCCGGAUUUACUGGGUGUAAAGGGAGCGUAGACGGCUGUGCAAGCCAGAUGUGAAAGCCCGGGGCUCAACCCCGGGACUGCAUUUGGAACUGUGUGGCUGGAGUGUCGGAGAGGCAGGCGGAAUUCCUAGUGUAGCGGUGAAAUGCGUAGAUAUUAGGAGGAACACCAGUGGCGAAGGCGGCCUGCUGGACGAUGACUGACGUUGAGGCUCGAAAGCGUGGGGAGCAAACAGGAUUAGAUACCCCGGUAU